CACGUAGGCGGACAUUUAAGUCAGGGGUGAAAUCCCGGGGCUCAACCCCGGAACUGCCUUUGAUACUGGGUGUCUCGAGUCCGGAAGAGGUGAGUGGAAUUCCGAGUGUAGAGGUGAAAUUCGUAGAUAUUCGGAGGAACACCAGUGGCGAAGGCGGCUCACUGGUCCGGUACUGACGCUGAGGUGCGAAAGCGUGGGGAGGCAAAACA
rnacentral:rRNA from 1 species